rnacentral:misc_RNA from 1 species
GGAUAAUUCAACUGGGAGAAAAACUCACCCGACCUAUAAUAUAAUAAAAUAAAUAAUUUGGGUAGCUCAGCUCACUCUCAUAACUCAUAUCAUAUCCAAUAUCACAAUGGAGAGCUCAGCUCAUACUAUGUCUAACAUUCCACAUACAUAAUAAUUUUAACAAGUUAGUUUUACAUCAUAAGAGAAACUAAUAUAGUUAUUGUGAAAU